GACGAACGCUGGCGGCGUGCUUAACACAUGCAAGUCGAACGGAAAGGCCCUGCUUUUGUGGGGUGCUCGUGUGGCGAACGGGUGAGUAACACGUGAGUAACCUGCCCUUGACUUUGGGAUAACUUCAGGAAACUGGGGCUAAUACCGGAUAGGAGCUCCUGCUGCAUGGUGGGGGUUGGAAAGUUUCGGCGGUUGGGGAUGGACUCGCGGCUUAUCAGCUUGUUGGUGGGGUAGUGGCUUACCAAGGCUUUGACGGGUAGCCGGCCUGAGAGGGUGACCGGCCACAUUGGGACUGAGAUACGGCCCAGACUCCUACGGGAGGCAGCAGCGGGGAAUAUUGCACAAUGGGCGGAAGCCUGAUGCAGCAACGCCGCGUGCGGGAUGACGGCCUUCGGGUUGUAAACCGCUUUCGCCUGUGACGAAGCGUGAGUGACGGUAAUGGGUAAAGAAGCACCGGCUAACUACGUG
rnacentral:rRNA from 1 species